rnacentral:misc_RNA from 1 species
GAUGAAGAACGCAGCGAAAUGCGAUAAGUAGUGUGAAUUGCAGAAUUCAGUGAAUCAUCGAAUCUUUGAACGCACAUUGCGCCCGCCAGUGUUCUGGCGGGCAUGCCUGUUCGAGCGUCAUUACAACCCUCAGGCCCCCGGGCCUGGCGUUGGGGAUCGGCGGAGCCCCCCGUGGGCACACGCCGUCCCCCAAAUACAGUGGCGGUCCCGCCGCAGCUUCCAUCGCGUAGUAGCUAACACCUCGCGACUGGAGAGCGGCGCGGCCACGCCGUAAAACACCCAACUCUUCUGAAGUUGACCUCGAAUCAGGUAGGAAUACCCGCUGAACUUAAGCAUAUCAAUAAGCGGAGGA